rnacentral:lncRNA from 1 species
AUGCAUCAUAGGCAAAGCGAUCUACUGGCUUUGGAUCAAAUUCGAUCCUCAGUUCUGCCACUAAGGCCAAGGGACGCUGGAGAAAUCCUCCUUCUCCCCCUACUAUACAUGAUUUUGGUAAAAGCAGGAAAUAAGGCGAGUUCACAGAUCUUAACGACUGCAGGGAAUAUUUUAACAAGCCCACCAGUGGGAAAUCCUCCCCUGCAGGGCCUCAUCAAAGGAACAAGCCCUGCAAGGGAUCCAAGGAACCAAGGAUCCUCCUGCAGGGGACAUGUAGCACCUGGCACAGGAACCACCUUCAGAACUAUCUGCGAGCAGAGGGCUGGGCAGUGCUGCUGCCCUGAGGAGGGGAGGCAGCGAGGGCAGCGAGCCCCAUUCCCAGCAGUGGGGGCAGCCUGCAGGGCCCGGAUCACGCCACUCACCUGCCUGGUGCUGCGGGGCCACCUCCCACGCUGGGAACCACAGCAGCCUUGAACUCCAGGUAGGUUCUUAUGGAGAAAAAAUGAAACAUUUUAAAGCAGCAGAACAGCAGCAACGCCCCCCACCUCCCAUUCCCCUCACAGCGAGGCCCCUGGGGCGCCCCUCCGGGCCCCGCGCUCCCCCUCAGGCCGUGUAUUUCCCCCUUAUGUUGCCGGGCAGCUACGGAGGCUCCAGCUGCUCGGCGACCGUCGAGGAAAACGGGUGGCUCUGGGCUCCUUUUUGACUGCAUCUGCCACGGCACCGAGGCAGAGGCAGCUUCGAUAGGGCCGGGCAGGCUUCAGUCUCCCCCCCCCUCACCUCCGGGCCUGGUUUUUACCUCAUCCAGGGGCAGGCCGGCGGCCAUGUCACCCCGCAUCCGCGCCACCCGCCAUCCGAGCGCCCCCAGCCGCCACCGCCCGGUAGCCGAGCCCCCGAGGCACCGAUGCGGCGGGGCAGGGCGGAGGAAAGGCACCGGGAGCGGGCGGAUGGCGGCGGAUGGCGCCCAGGCCGCAGCCCCUAUCCUCCGCCGCCAUCACAGGGAAAGGCCGAGGGCGGGCGGCCGCGCGUCUUUUAUAGGGAGGGAGCGCGGGCGCUGAUUGGCUGCUGCGGCCGGGCGCUGCCGCUGCGCCUGCUGGGAGUUGUAGUCCGCGGAACCUCCCCCCCCCCACCCGCCGCCAUGCCAGGCCCUGCUGCUCCCCCAGCCCAACGUGCCCCAAACCGCCAACAGCCGGGGUGGAAGGGGGAAACCUCACCCCAGCGCUGCAGGAGCUGCGUUUCCAAGCCCUGAUCAUGCACAGGGGGCAAGCUGUGCUGUGCCACCCGCCUCCUACACGAUCCCCUAGCUCCCUGGCACUGCCACACAAAUUUCUGUCUCCUCCACACCUGAGGCGUGUGCCAGGGGCUGCUCGUUGCGAGGUGCAGCAGCCGCUGCAGUUCUCCUGCUCCAUGUUUCUGGAAGGCCAGGGGGCACACCCCACCCUCAGGGAAUGGAAGAAAAGGUUCUUGGAAGCCAGAGCCUAUCUAUCUGCCAAGGCAAUCCCUCUGUCACAUUCCUGGCUCCCGAUCUGUAAUUAGUGGAAAGGGUUUAAAAGGAGAGCACCUACCCGCUGACUGGAAGGGACUGAUGAAGUUUCUGCUGGUACGGAUGCUGAAGGCACGGCCACCAUGAGGAAUCCGGUCGAAAAGCUGGAUCUUAGAGCAAAAGCUUUGUGUCCUGCCCCUGAGCCCUGGAGAAAGCACACACACACAAAAAAAAAAAANAAAAAAAAAAAAAAAAAAGGAUGACAGAGAACAAUAGUUAGUUUUUUAACCUGUUCUGAGCAAAAUCCACAGAUCAGAAGUUCACAUCACCCUUUCAAACCGGUAACCCCUCACCACAAACAUGCCAGAUUACUGGCAAAAUAAGCCUGGCACCCAUUUAAAGCAGAGGUCUGGAAAUGGGCCCCAAACCUUCCAUGAGCAAGCUCUUCUAAAAACAGUUCUUGUCAAAGCUGCUGGGACAGGGCACGAGCAGGUGGCCCCAGACACCACAGCCCCUGCAGCUGUUCUGCUAAGUCACAAGGCAUUCCCUGGGGGCCCAAAU